UGCAAAGCACAAUGGCUGAGAGGACUUAUAAAGAUUAUUAUAUAUUUUCAUUCUAAUUGCAUAUUAAAAGUCCCUUUUAAACCACGAUCGACUCUUCGUAAAAUCGUACCGCUGAUAGAUUUUAUGACACCAAUUUUUUUUUUUUUUGAAUAAUCAAAGAGGUUCUGGGCCGAAUCUCAUACAUCUCCUCAAGCCCAAAACCAAUACAUCUCUUCAGACCCGAAACCAAAACAUGUUAUUUAGUCUUGUCCCAAGAUAUUAUGUAUUAAGCAGCACUAUACAUACACAUGCUCACAUGUCUACAAGUAGAGUUUAACUUGAAAGCUAACUCUGUGAAUUAAGCACAACGAUUUGCUCAUAAGAACUAAAUUCACUUUUUGUGAGAGUUCAUAUCAUUUUUUAAUGGAUAUUUAAGUUUUAAAAGUGGUUAUUUACUAACCAACGCAACUCUCGAGUGUAUGGUUACUUUACUAACACUCUAUUUUCCGAC
rnacentral:lncRNA from 1 species